rnacentral:rRNA from 1 species
CCUACGGGAGACAGCAGUGAGGAAUAUUGGUCAAUGGGCUUACGCCUGAACCAGCCAAGUCGCGUGAGGGAAGACUGCCCUAUGGGUUGUAAACCUCUUUUGUCAGGGAGCAAUUGGCGCUACGUGUAGCGUUAUCGAGAGUACCUGAAGAAAAAGCAUCGGCUAACUCCGUGCCAGCAGCCGCGGUAAUACGGAGGAUGCGAGCGUUAUCCGGAUUUAUUGGGUUUAAAGGGUGCGUAGGCGGAAUGCCAAGUCAGCGGUAAAAUCGCGGGGCUCAACCUCGCUCCGCCGUUGAAACUGGCGGUCUUGAGUGGGCGAGAAGUAUGCGGAAUGCGUGGUGUAGCGGUGAAAUGCAUAGAUAUCACGCAGAACUCCGAUUGCGAAGGCAGCAUACCGGCGCCCAACUGACGCUGAAGCACGAAAGCGUGGGUAUCGAACAGGAUUAGAUACCCCUGUAGUC